rnacentral:rRNA from 1 species
UACGUAGGGUGCGAGCGUUGUCCGGAAUUACUGGGCGUAAAGAGCUCGUAGGUGGUUUGUCGCGUUGUUCGUGAAAACUCACAGCUUAACUGUGGGCGUGCGGGCGAUACGGGCAGACUGGAGUACUGCAGGGGAGACUGGAAUUCCUGGUGUAGCGGUGGAAUGCGCAGAUAUCGGGAGGAACACCCGUGGCGAAAGCGGCUCUCUGGGACGGUACUGACGCUGAGACGCGAAAGCGUGGGGAGCAAACAGG